AUUGAACGCUGGCGGCAGGCCUAACACAUGCAAGUCGAACGAGUGGCGGACUGGUGAGUAAUGUCUGGGAAACUGCCCGAUGGAGGGGGAUAACUACUGGAAACGGUAGCUAAUACCGCAUACCAUCGGAUGUGCCCAGAUGGGCUUAGCUAGUUGGGGGGGUAACGGCUCACCUAGGCGACGAUCCCUAGCUGGUCGGAGAGGAUGACCAGCCACACUGGAACUGAGACAGGGUCCAGACUCCUACGGGAGGAAGCAGUGGGGAAUAUUGCACAAUGGGCGCAAGCCUGAGGCAGCCAUGCCGCGUGUAUGAAGAAGGCCUUCGGGUUGUAAAGUACUUUCAGCGGGGAGGCGUUACCCGCAGAAGAAGCACCGGCUAACUCCGUGCCAGCAGCCGCGGUAAUUC
rnacentral:rRNA from 1 species